GGACGACGUCACGGCCGCCAUUACGCGACUCCGCCUCAGCUGGCGCGGCGGAAGCCCCUCGUAAAUUAAGGCGUGAAAGAGUGAAACUGGUGGAAUGCCCAGGUUUUUUAAGGUCAAAAAAGCACGUCCUGCGAAGCUCAGAGCCUGCAGGCCUCGUCCAUCACCGCAGCAACCCGGCUGGGUGCCGCCUUGUUCUAAAGGGUGGCCGGGGGCGGCUGAGCCAGCCUUGGGGUCGCGCUCUGCCCCCGCUUGGGCUGGAGGGGCCUCCGCCGUGAGGAGCUCCUCCUGGGAUGGGACGCCUGGCUUGGGACGGGGAGGCCUCUCUGUCCCUCUUUAGGCUUCUUCCAAGUCACCAGUGACAGGAGAGGGAACGGCCUCAAGCUGCGUCAGGGGAGGGUUAGGUUGGAGAUUAGGAAAAAUUUCUUCCCUGCCAGAGCGGUCAGGCCCUGGCACAGGCUGCCCAGAGAGGUGGGGGAGUCACCGUCCCUGGAGGGGUUCAAAACACAUGCAGACACAGCAUUUUGGGACAUGGUUUAGGAGGCCUGGGGGUGUUGGGUUGAUGGUUGGACCUGAUGGUCCUAGAGGUCUUCCCAACCUUAAUGAUUCUAUGAUUCUAAGUCCUCUGGACAUGCUCAUGUUCCUCAGAAGCAUCGAUAUUGUGCAGUGUAGCGUCCUGGCAUUGACAGUACGUGUUACUGGCUUUGCUCCUCAUUCCACCUUGUCCCCUCACCCCCACCACAGCCUCCCUUUUCCCUGCCCAUAAAAGCGCUUACCAUCGGCUCUGUUCUUCCGCUACCCCUUUGCAGGCUGGCACACCGACUCGCUCAGUCCCACCUCCACCUUCCUUCCUUGCCUGGUACACUGCUUUCGUCCCUCCACAUGGAGUGACCAAGAUCCACGUAUUCCUCUCAGGACAGGCAAGGAAGGCCGCUAGCUGAGCACGGUGGCCUUGGAGACGCCGAUGGGGGAAGGCGGCAGGGAAAUGGAGGUGUGCAGGAGGAGCCGUCAGUCCCCGUGUCAGUGCUGCGGUCACAGGGAUGACGGGCGACUGGCAGGUGAACGAAGGAGCUCCUCCAAUGCGAUACACUUUCCACAAGCUCAGCAUUCACCCUGCGAUGGAAUUAAUUAUUCAUUAGCCGCCAAUUAUCCCCCUUUCUGCCAUACCUCAGCUGAGAAUUUCAGAUGCCUACGAUUCAUUUCUAGUCUCAGUUCUCCUGGUGUAAACACAGAGCGAGCCUGAAACCCGUGGGCUCGUUCCAGGGUUGGGUAGGCUGCAUAACUACGUGAGAGGGUAGCAAAAUCCAAUUAAACAAUUUAGUUUGAUUCUUUAAAUAGAAGAGCGCUGCGGUUUUUUUCCCCCAUGAGGUUUUUUUCUUUUUUUUAAUAGACCCUGUGUAUAGUCCUGUGGCAAAAACGGAGCGGCAUUUUUACAAGCUGAAUGAAUAUAUGGUGUAUUUUUGGACUAGAAAGCCAUUGGCCCCUCUCUCUGGCCCCUCUAGUAGUUAACUCGUUGAUUAAGACAUCUGUAUGGCGGCCUGGUUUAACCUGUGUUGUGCUGCUGCUUUUUUACGUGCCAACACUAACGUUGGGCUUCCCACUGCUGGUGGAAAUUGCUAAGGACGCAGGUCAGCAGGGCUUAUGGUGAAUACGGUUACACGGUUUCCUCCUGGAAGUCUGAAAAGCCUUCUUCAGGUUGUGUACGUUUUGUUCCAAGCAACUCUAAGGCUGACAGCGGGUCAGCUCAGCGUUUCUAUGCUGCAGAAGCGCGGCGUCUGCCUACGGUAGGAUUUCACCAGUGGAAGGGAAAAUACUUCUACACAGAAGAAAUCCAAACAUGUAGAGAAGACAAACAAGAUACGUGGCUUAUGAACUUUUAACUUCUAGGAUCAUAUGAAACCACACAAAAGAAUGUAUUUCUGCUCCGUUACAUUUAUUUGAAAGACCUUCAGCUUUUUAUUAAGAGCUUAAUUUAAAACUCUCAUGCUUAUAUCUGAUUUUGAACACUUAGACGAGGUAAUUCAAUUUAAAAGCCCCGCACAUGCAUUAGGUAUGUAAAAGCCAACGUUAAUUAACAUGUAACGUGGAGCUCACCUGGUAAAUAUAUGUGUCCUUCGAAGGCAGGCUCCCGACAGAAACGCUGAGGAAGCAAGCGCGCUGUGCAGCUGGUUAUCGCAGGUGCUGCCGGGCCCGGAGAGAUGCGAGGAAGGCCCCAAGGGGUGAGCCGUGCCCGAGCCCUGCCAAGGGGCACCACCACUCUCCCCUCUGCAGCAGCCGGCAGGAGCCCGACGGGACGGGCGGCAGCACGGCGGACCCCGCAGCACACUGCCCGUGCUGGCCUGGUGGGGCUCGGUACAGCCCGGUGCUGCCGUGGGGCUGGUUUGGUCCCUGCCGCCCGCGCGAGGCUGAAAGCACGGCACUUCCAGGCUUCUUUUGGUGAUCACGGCGUCUCUGUCAGGUUGCUGGUUCCUCUUACUCGCUCUUUGGAAAAGGUAGCAUGGAGCGCUCUGCUAGAGGUAGUGUCUUUCGGUGCUUGCUUGUUUUCAAGAUGCUAUGAACACUAUUUAGUUCUAUUUUAAUCAGUCAUUCCAUCUUUAAUACCUCACACCAUUCUGAUGCUUGUUUCUGUCUAGGAACCAAUUUUACAUUAAUAGGAGAACAUGCUGAGGACCAGAUCCAAAGACCAUUAACGCUCACGAGAAUCCUUCGACUGAGCAGUUGGCUGAAAGUCUUACUUCUCGACAGAACAGCGAGAUGCUCCAUGUAUUUAUGUACUUCUGAUCUGCAGCUAUUUAAGAGCAGAUAGAUUUAAAAAUAAACGUCAUUCAUUUCACAGACCAGAUGCAUCUCCUUCUUCAGAAUCUCAUUAUUUUUUACUAAAAAUGCUAACACGUGAAGCUGCUGCCAAAAGCUAUCGGCAAACAAUAAAAACACCGCCACGCUCCGAACGGUUUUCUCAAGUGACUCUUCCGAGCUUUUUUCCGGCCUUGAGUGCGGAAUACAAAGAGACUUAAAAGACUCUGAAACGGAAAUAUUGGUAAGGCCAUACGAUCGUCGGUGCGUGACAUUUAUGGGCAGACCUUGCAAAUACUGACUCUGGAGAAGCCAGUAAUA